UUUUAGUCUAGAAUUCUUUAUAUUCAAGUUCUGUGCUUUCUGAAGGCCCACCUCCAGUACCUUCUCUUCUAUGGACUCAUUCUGCACAGCCUUUUCAUGUUCAUUAAGCAUCUAUUAAGAGGUGUUUGUCUUUCAUUGAUAAUGUCCUGUUUUUCCAGUGAGUUUGCAAAAGUUACCUGAAUGUCUUAUUGCUCGUUGUAUCUAGCAUACAAACAAUAGAUAUUCAGUAAGCAUUUAUCAUCUUUAUUGAUGAAAUAUAUGAUAAAAGUCACAUAGUGUUAGUUACAUCAUUCCUGGAAACACUGAGCCUAGCCUCAUUAGCUUUUGAACAAGCAUAAGAAAAAAAUAUCAGUCACUUAUAUAGUUUGCUUUAAAUUUUUAUUUAAUAAAUUUCUGUGGUAAAUAAGUCAAGCUGUAAAAAUCUCUUGUUUUAUUUCCUUUUAGUAGAUAUGGAAAUAAAUAAUUUAAUUGUAUUUAAUAGCUUCUAUAAUUCUAUUUUAGGUUGGUAGAGAUCCCUCAAUUCAUAUAUGGGAUACAGAGACCAUUAAACCAUUGUCCAUAUUAAAGGGCCACCACCAGUAUGGUGUUAGUGCCGUUGAUUUCUCAGCGGAUGGGAAACGUUUGGCAUCAGUUGGCAUAGAUGAUAGCCAUACUGUUGUGCUCUGGGACUGG
rnacentral:lncRNA from 1 species